CAGCAGCGGCCCUCCCGCUCCCGGCCAGGCCACCCUCACUUCCCCCUGCCCCCUCAGCCCUCUCUGCUUCUGUCUGCCCCAAGCCUGCAGGAAAAGAAGACAUUACCUUGUUAAGAAGCAGAUGCUGCACUAGAGUUGAAUUUUCCUAUGGAAAAAAAGUACAACUAAGAAACGCCAAACCCUGCCAAACACCUCAGGUGUCUGCAGCAAGACUUAGAGCAGAAAACUCAGGCUAAUAUGAGGGGCUGAAGGGUUACUGUGGGUGUUUUGCCACUGCUGCUAAGGAAAACACCCGUAUCCACAAUAAUGUGCAGUGUAGAAAAAUUCUCCAAAGCUGCAGUUACUGCUUGGAACCUCCUCGACUCCAACUUGUUGUAAAAUGGGAUGUCCAGCCAUAAGUUAACAGUUUUUUGCCAAACAUCUAAAAUGUUAUCAAAUAAACAGAAAUGGGAAAUAAUCA